GACGAACGCUGGCGGCGUGCUUAACACAUGCAAGUCGAACGGAAAGGCCCUGCUUUUGUGGGGUGCUCGAGUGGCGAACGGGUGAGUAACACGUGAGUAACCUGCCCUUGACUUUGGGAUAACUUCAGGAAACUGGGGCUAAUACCGGAUAGGAGCUCCUGCUGCAUGGUGGGGGUUGGAAAGUUUCGGCGGUUGGGGAUGGACUCGCGGCUUAUCAGCUUGUUGGUGGGGUAGUGGCUUACCAAGGCUUUGACGGGUAGCCGGCCUGAGAGGGUGACCGGCCACAUUGGGACUGAGAUACGGCCCAGACUCCUACGGGAGGCAGCAGUGGGGAAUAUUGCACAAUGGGCGGAAGCCUGAUGCAGCAGCGCCGCGUGCGGGAUGACGGCCUUCGGGUGGUAAACCGCUGUCGCCUGUGACGAAGCGUGAGUGACGGUAAUGGGUAAAGAAGCACCGGCUAACUACGUG
rnacentral:rRNA from 1 species